rnacentral:lncRNA from 1 species
AAAAUAUGUAAGAAAGGAUGCUCCUGCUCCUGAAGUUCAGUUUUACUUUUUGAAAUUUUCUCUUCUGAUUGAAUUUAGUUUUCUCCUUUGCUUGAGCUUAAAGGUGUAAGAAUGAAUUGGUGAGGUUGAGUCUAAUUUUUGCCAAGAUAGUUAAGGGUUUAAAGUUGGGGUUAGUUGUUUGAUUUGCAUCCUUUAUUGAUUUUUGGGUUGCAUGCAAUUCACUGAUCUAUUGGAUUUGGGAUUAGCUGUGGCUUUGUCACUGAUUUGGGUUUCUGUUGCUGUUUCUUCCUGCUGUUACUUCUGGUCAUUCACUUACCCCCUAUUUUGGUCUUUACUUGUGAACUCCAGGUACUCAUUUGGUCUCAUACAACUUGUGAAGGCUCAAUGUAAAAUUGAUGUAGCAUCUUAAAUGAUGAAAUGCAACUGAAUUCGAUCUCUGAAAUUUCCUGUUCCUUGUCUAGUUGAAAGGCAUGAAGUAGUUUUGUUUAUCUGGCGACAUAUUAAUUUGUAAUAAAUUAGACUGCUAGAUUUUUUAUAAUUUCAUGAAUGCUCUGCCACUACCUUAGUUUAGUAUUGAUUUAUAGCUAAUUAGAUCAUCAGACUUUUAGAAUCGUAUGAAUGUGUUUUCAAGUAGCGUUAGUUUAGAGUUGUAUGAGUGCAUUCUGCCAGUAAUACACGUAUUAGAUUUUCACGCUAGUUUAGAUUUGGUAGUGUUUGGACUCAUCUUGUCGCUUCGAAGGGAAAGGGUUGGUUAUGUCAUUGGGUUCAUUGUAUAUCUGUUAAAAGUGUAACUCAC